CCAUGAUGAUCCCUUUAGAUGACGAGUCUUAUCGGGGAUUCCCCAUGCAGACAACCUUUUUUUUUAAUACCAUUCAUGCAUUUCUGAAA
rnacentral:ncRNA from 10 species